rnacentral:lncRNA from 1 species
UGGAGGGAGUAGGAGGGCGAUAGCAUGCCAGGAUUCAGAAGUUUAUUUGCAGGACAAUGUUUAUGCAUACAGAGACUUGAAAACAUAAUAAAAUUUAGAGCCGUAAUAAAAGCUGCAUACACCUCCUUUGAGCUGCGAAAUUCAGCAGUUUGCAAUACAAAUUUUAUCAUUUCUUGUGAUGACUCUUUGCAAACUAUAGUGCAGAUUCUGUAGGAGCACAAAGUUACCUUGUUGUUGAGUUUAAGGAGGCCAACUAUUGAUCCUUCCAUGAGCCACAAUACUAAUCACAUGCAUGAGUAUCUACAAUUAUCUCUCCCCUCUUACCAUAAACUAAUUUCUGUUUAGUUCCAAUACUAUUGCAUCCUUUUCUAGUGCUCUCCAUUUUUGCCAAAUUAUUCUAGCUGCUUCUAUGGCAUCCUUGAUCUUACUCGUCAUUCCUAGAUGGUGCCGCCCUAAGUUUAACAUUAAAGUUUCUACUGAACUUUGCUUUUCUUGCAUUAUAGUGCACUUCCAUCCUUCAUUAACAUUGCAAAAGACCCCGUCAACACGAAUGUGGUUUCAUUUAACUGAUUUGACGCCCACAGAAUUCAUUAUACUAUGUUGCACACAGACUUCUUCCUACUUAGAGUAGAAUUGCUACUCAAGAAUGCCGGCAUCCUAUCCAUCAAACAAAUCUGGCAAAAAGUCCAUUCUUUCCCUUUGCAUCAACUUCAAUAAGCAGCCCACAGAUUAUGUCCAUCCUUUGGAUCUAGCUUUAUAACAGAUUAGCCAGAAAUUUUG